AUUGAACGCUGGCGGCAGGCCUAACACAUGCAAGUCGAGCGAGCGGCGGACGGGUGAGUAAUGUCUGGGAAACUGCAUGAUGGAGGGGGAUAACUACUGGAAACGGUAGCUAAUACCGCAUACCAUCAGAUGUGCCCAGAUGGGAUUAGCUAGUAGGUGGGGUAACGGCGCACCUAGGCGACGAUCCCUCGCUGGUCUGAGAGGAUGAACAGCCCCACUGGAACUGAGCAACGGUCCAGACGCGUACGGGAGGCAGCAGGGGGGAAUAUUGCACAAUGGGCGCAAGCCGGAUGCAGCCAUGCCGCGUGUGUGAAGAAGGCCUUCGGGUUGUAAAGCACUUUCAGCGUGGAGGCGUUACCCGCAGAAGAAGCACCGGCUAACUCCGUGCCAGCAGCCGCGGUAAUAC
rnacentral:rRNA from 1 species